rnacentral:pre_miRNA from 2 species
UCUCUUACACAGGCUGACCGAUUUCUCUUGGUGUUCAGAGUCUCAGUGUUUGUCUAGCACCAUUUGAAAUCGGUUAUGAUGUAGGGGGA